rnacentral:lncRNA from 1 species
AAUACUUUAGACGUCUUACUCAUCAACUUACAUUUCUUGAAUUCUUUGAAACCUUUUGCAAAGUAUUCGAACUUGUAUUUAUUCAAAAUAAACUAUAGUCCAACCGAGAGUGAUCUUCGGUGAAUGUUAUAUAACAUGAGUAGUAUUAUGUUUGUGGACAAGUGCCACUAACAUCUAAGUGAAUUAACCUCAACAACUUUGUGAUUCUUUCUUCUUUCCAAAAGAAUAAAGAUUCGAACAUUUCGCCUCUAUACAAUUUUAACAAGAAGGUAUUGGAUCCGGAUCUAAUGAUCCAAAGCGUCCAUCUAUGACCAACUCGUAAUUUAUGUUUUAGAGGUAUCACAACUUUAGUUGGGAUUAGUCA